AUUAUUUAUUAGGCUUUCCCAAAAAACAUAUUUGAUUUUCAAUUUCAAUCCUCUCUUCAUUAUCGCCAUUUUAAGGGUUUCCCUCCACUCUCUCUCACUCUUCCACAACCCUCUUUCAAUUCAAAUUCUACAUUUCUUGAAACCGCUUCAUAGUACAGUGCUUUCAAAACACCAAUUCUUCUCACAUCAACAAAACAGGUUUGAUUGCUAUGGAGCUGAAUUCGCAGAACAGACCAUUUUCAAUCAAAUUAUGGCCUCCUAGUCAGAACACUAGACAGACACUUGUGGAUAAGAUGAUCACCAAUCUUACUACAAGAUCUAUUUUCACGCAGAAGUAUGCAACUUUGAACCGUGAAGAGGCUGAAGAAAAUGCAAAAAGAAUUGAGGACGUGGCUUUUGCCACUGCAAACCUACAUUAUGAGAGAGAGCCAGAUGGUGAUGGAGGUUCUGCUGUCCAGCUUUAUGCCAAAGAGUGCAGUAAGCUCCUCCUAGACGUGCUUAAAAGAGAACCUAGUAAGAACCGUGACAAUGAAGUGGCGGUGCGUGAUGAUACCGCUGUUCCUCGUGAAUCUGUUUUUGAUAUAUCUAAAGGCAAAAGGGCUUUCAUUGAAGCAGAGGAGGCUCAUGAACUUUUGAAGCCAUUAAAGGAACCGGGAAAUUCUUUCACUAAAAUAUGCUUCAGCAACAGAAGUUUUGGAUUAGAAGCAGCAGAGGUCGCCCAGCCAAUUCUCACUUCCCUCAAGGGCCAGUUGAAAGAAGUAGACCUGUCAGAUUUUGUUGCUGGAAGGCCAGAAGCAGAAGCACUUGAUGUCAUGAGAAUAUUCUCUGCUGCUCUAGAGGGCAGUGUCUUGAAGUAUUUAAACCUUUCCGACAAUGCUUUAGGCGAGAAAGGUGUUAGAGCAUUUGGAGCUCUCUUGAAAUCGCAAAGCUGUUUGGAGGAGCUUUAUCUUAUGAAUGACGGAAUUUCAGAAGAAGCUGCACAAGCAGUUUCUGAGUUGAUUCCUUCAACAGAGAAGCUCAAAGUUCUUCAUUUUCAUAAUAAUAUGACUGGAGAUGAAGGAGCACUUGCUAUAGCUGAGGUUGUGAAGCGUUCGCCUCUCUUGGAGGAUUUCCGCUGUUCCUCCACGAGGAUUGGCGAGGAAGGUGGCGUUGCCUUAUCUGAAGCUUUAGGGAAUUGCAUCCAUUUGAGGAAGCUUGAUUUGCGAGACAACAUGUUAGGUGUAGAGGGUGGGAUUUCUCUGAGUAAAGCUCUCACCAAGAAUGCAGAGUUAAGAGAGAUAUACCUGAGCUACUUGAACUUGGAAGAUGAAGGAGCAAUUGCUAUAGUUAACACUCUUAAGGAAUCAGCUCCUCACCUUGAAGUUCUUGAGAUGAAUGGAAAUGAAAUUACAGUUGACGCUGUUCCUGCUAUAGUAGACUGCGUAGCAACAAAGCAGUUUCUAGCUAAGUUGAUCCUCUCGGAGAAUGAACUCAAGGAUGAAGGUGCCAUCCAGAUAAGUAAAGCUCUAGAAGGACUUGACCAGUUAAAGGAAGUCGAUCUAAGUUCCAACGAAAUAAGCAGUGAUGGGGCUCGACAAUUGGCUCUCACCGUGGUGCAGAAGGCUGAUUUUAAACUUCUCAACAUUAAUGGAAAUUUCAUUUCUGAUGAUGGCGUUGAAGAGUUGAAGGCCAUAUUUGAAAAAUCUCCGGACAUGCUGGGUCCAUUAGAUGAAAAUGACCCUGAUGGAAAAGGCGGUGAUGGAGAAUCUGACGAAGAGGGUAGUGUGGAAGAUGAACUGGAAUCCAAAAUGAAGAACCUUGUGGUUGAUUGAAUUGUAGCAGUUGGGAGUCUGCUCUCUAGUUCUGCUGCAAAGUAGCUCUUAUGGCAGUAGUAUCAGUUUAUUAGAUUGAGAUGAUUGCAGAGAUAACGGUGGAGAAGAGGUUACUCAACAAAAGAGAGAAGAUUGAUGAAGUAAAUAUAAUGUGGUGAGGUCUAUGAUAAUAUAUAAUUUAUUUAAUCUAAUAGUCAUUAAAUGUGAUUCAUGGUGAGAGACUUAGUUAAUGUCUCACUCUAGCCUGAAAAACUAUUCAAAAUAAUUUUAAUUCAAGUAUAUUUUGAAA